GCAGAGUAGGGUUCCGCGCGUUUAGUGCCUGACCAACGGGGAGUUGUGGCAGGACGAAGUGGCCGCCCGGGCGUUUUCGGCGCCCCGGGGCCCGCGGUGCGGUCCCCGCAUCCCACUGC
rnacentral:ncRNA from 1 species